CGCCCCUGAGGGGCCGCGGGCGCUGAGCGGGCGGCGGGAGGUGAUGGGGACUCACAAAUCAGAGAAUGUCCGCAGCUGGGAGGCACCCAGGAAGACCAUCGAGAUCAGCUCUUGUGCGCAGCGCACCGCAUGAAUCGCACCGUGUGCCUGAGAACGCUUCCUCAGCUCAGGCUUGGUGCUCGGACCGCUGCUCUGCGGAGCCUGUUCCAGUGGGCAGCCACCCUCUGGGUGCAGAGCGCUUUCCUGAUAUCCAGUGUAAACCUCCCCUGAUGCAUCUUCAUGCCAUUCUCCCGGCUCCUGUCAAUGCUUGCCAGGGGGAUCAGUGUCUGCCCCUCUGCCGGCCCUCAUGAGGAUGUUGAAGAUCACAAUGAGAUGUCCCCUCAGUCUCCUCCAGGUUGGACAAACCAUGUGACCUCAGCUGCUCCUCAUAAGACUUUCCUUCCAUACCCUUGCCAUCCUUGUGGCCCUCCUUCAGAUGUUCUUUUUAUAUUGUGGCGCUCAGAACUGCACAUGGAACUCGAGGUGCGGCCACACCAGAGCAGAACAGAGAAGGACAGUGCCCUCCCGUGACCAGACUUUCCAAGCUGUUCACUGCUGAUACAUACAAUGUGGCUGUGACUUUGGGGGUUAUAACAACCUAGAACCCCCUGGGGGAUAUGCUGCUAGAUGGCAACUCUCCAAAUGUCAUACGUGUAUGACUGACUGCAGUGACCUCUCUGACACUGGACCUUGGGUUCUCUGAGAUCCCUCUGGGUCUCAGGGAAGGCACCAGAGAUGCUCCAUCAUUUGAACUGGAGUUGUCCAUCAUUCU